UCAGGUGGGAUGUAACAUUCUGUUUCCUCCUUUUUUAAUAAGGUGAGCCAUUUGAAGUGCUUUGCAGCUGGAGUUAAGACCAGAAAAAAAGUCAAUUCAAGGUCAGCGUUCUGGCCAGUCUUUAUGUUGCCUAGCUCUAUUUUAAAAUGAUGCAGUUGCUUGGCUUACAUGGUACUAUGAAGACUGACACCUUUCAAGAUCUGCAGGAUGAGUCAGCAAGCUGAUAACCCAGGAGACCUUAUCAUGUCAUUUCAGUCUGCAGACCGGCAGGCUCAAGACCCAGGAAGAUGUGAUGUUCCAGUUUGUGUGAAAAGGCAGGAAAAAAUGGAUUCCUAGUUCAAAAGCUGACAGACUUGUGAAGAAAAUCCCUGAUUCCUCCACUUCGACCAUGAUUGUAAGCUUCCUGAGAUCUCUGCAGCCAGGCAGAACUGU